rnacentral:rRNA from 1 species
GACGAACGCUGGCGGCGUGCUUAACACAUGCCAGUCGAACGGAAAGGCCCUGCUUUUGUGGGGUGCUCGAGUGGCGAACGGGUGAGUAACACGUGAGUAACCUGCCCUUGACUUUGGGAUAACUUCAGGAAACUGGGGCUAAUACCGGAUAGGAGCUCCUGCUGCAUGGUGGGGGUUGGAAAGUUUCGGCGGUUGGGGAUGGACUCGCGGCUUAUCAGCUUGUUGGUGGGGUAGUGGCUUACCAAGGCUUUGACGGGUAGCCGGCCGGAGAGGGUGAGCGGCCACAUUGGGACUGGGAUACGGCCCAGACUCCUACGGGAGGCAGCAGUGGGGAAUAUUGCACAAUGGGCGGAAGCCUGAUGCAGCAACGCCGCGUGCGGGAUGACGGCCUUCGGGUUGUAAACCGCUUUCGCCUGUGACGAAGAGUGAGUGACGGUAAUGGGUAAAGAAGCACCGGCUAACUACGUG